rnacentral:pre_miRNA from 1 species
ACACCAGAGCAAAGCCGCCACCUGGGCGGCUUUGCUCGUUUUCCCAGGAGCAAAGCCGCCCAGGCGGCGGCUUUGCUCGGGUGU